GACGUAGGGCGCGAGCGUUGUCCGGAUUUAUUGGGCGUAAAGAGCUCGUAGGCGGCUUGUUGCGUCUGCCGUGAAAGUCCGGGGCUCAACUCCGGAUCUGCGGUGGGUACGGGCAGACUAGAGUGAUGUAGGGGAGACUGGAAUUCCUGGUGUAGCGGUGAAAUGCGCAGAUAUCAGGAGGAACACCGAUGGCGAAGGCAGGUCUCUGGGCAUUAACUGACGCUGAGGAGCGAAAGCAUGGGGAGCGAACAGG
rnacentral:rRNA from 1 species